rnacentral:lncRNA from 1 species
CAAGGAUGACAAGUCGCAGAAAGGACGCUUCCACCACUGUGAUCGCUGUGACUAUAAAACUAGAAAACCGUGCGAUCUAAGAGCACACAUAAGGGUCCACACAGGUGACAAGCCAUUUCAGUGCCCUUCAUGUUCUCAGAGCUUCUC